rnacentral:rRNA from 1 species
GGCCGCUCUAGACUAGUGGAUCCCCCGGGCUGCAGCCCAAUGUGGAAUUCGCCCUUCGCCCGCGCGCGCGGCGGGCGGGGCGGGGGGCCUACGGGAGGCAGCAGUGGGGAAUAUUGCACAAUGGGCGCAAGCCUGAUGCAGCGACGCCGCGUGAGGGAUGGAGGCCUUCGGGUUGUAAACCUCUU